rnacentral:rRNA from 1 species
AGUGAACGCUGGCGGUAGGCCUAACACAUGCAAGUCGAACGGCAGCACAGUAAGAGCUUGCUCUUACGGGUGGCGAGUGGCGGACGGGUGAGGAAUACAUCGGAAUCUACUUUUUCGUGGGGGAUAACGUAGGGAAACUUACGCUAAUACCGCAUACGACCUACGGGUGAAAGCAGGGGAUCUUCGGACCUUGCGCGAUUGAAUGAGCCGAUGUCGGAUUAGCUAGUUGGCGGGGUAAAGGCCCACCAAGGCGACGAUCCGUAGCUGGUCUGAGAGGAUGAUCAGCCACACUGGAACUGAGACACGGUCCAGACUCCUACGGGAGGCAGCAGUGGGGAAUAUUGGACAGUGGGCGCAAGCCUGAUCCAGCCAUACCGCGUGGGUGAAGAAGGCCUUCGGGUUGUAAAGCCCUUUUGUUGGGAAAGAAAGGCAGCAGGUUAAUACCCCGCUGUUCUGACGGUACCCAAAGAAUAAGCACCGGCUAACUUCGUG